rnacentral:rRNA from 1 species
CCUACGGGAGGCAGCAGUGAGGAAUAUUGGUCAAUGGGCGCGCGCCUGAACCAGCCAAGUAGCGUGAAGGAUGACUGCCCUACGGGUUGUAAACUUCUUUUAUAAAGGAAUAAAGUGAGCCACGUGUGCCUUUUUGGAGGUACUUUGUAAAUAAGGCUCGGCUAACUCCGUGCCAGCAGCCGCGGUAAUACGGAGGAUGCGAGCGUUAUCCGGGUUUAUUGGGUUUAAAGGGGGCGUAGGCGGACUGGUAAGUCAGCGGUAAAAGCCCGGGGCUCAACCCCGGCGAGCCGUUGAAACUGGCUGUCUUGAGAUGGCGAGAGGUAUGCGGAAUGCGUAGUGUAGCGGUGAAAUGCUUAGAUAUUGCGCAGAACUCCGAUUGCGAAGGCAGCAUACCGGCGGCGAUCUGACGCUGAGGCACGAAAGCGUGGGUAUCGAACAGGAUUAGAUACCCUGGUAGUC